rnacentral:rRNA from 1 species
UACGUAGGGUGCAAGCGUUAAUCGGAAUUACUGGGCGUAAAGCGUGCGCAGGCGGUUAUGCAAGACAGAUGUGAAAUCCCCGGGCUCAACCUGGGAACUGCAUUUGUGACUGCAUGGCCAGAGUACGGUAGAGGGGGAUGGAAUUCCGCGUGUAGCAGUGAAAUGCGUAGAUAUCGGAAGGAACAUCAGUGGCGAAAGCGACUUCCUGGACCAGUACCGACGUUCAGGCACGAAAGCGUGGGGAGCAAACAGG